rnacentral:rRNA from 1 species
UACGAAGGGGGCUAGCGUUGCUCGGAAUCACUGGGCGUAAAGCGCACGUAGGCGGAUCUUUAAGUCAGGGGUGAAAUCCUGGAGCUCAACUCCAGAACUGCCUUUGAUACUGGGGAUCUCGAGUCCGGGAGAGGUGAGUGGAACUGCGAGUGUAGAGGUGAAAUUCGUAGAUAUUCGCAAGAACACCAGUGGCGAAGGCGGCUCACUGGCCCGGUACUGACGCUGAGGUGCGAAAGCGUGGGGAGCAAACGGG